rnacentral:rRNA from 1 species
AAUUGGACCAACUANGGACGGUCAUCAGUAUACGAGCAGAGUUUCUAAUUCGGUACGUACAGAUUCAUGUUCGGGUUAAUUCCACUUUGGCGCUUACCGAGUAAUUUAGUCGAUACUAAGUAACCUAGACAUGGGUGUGAAUGAACCUAUUGACACCGUUAAGAUCUCGAUUAUGUACGUGGUGCAGAGACUGGCGUUCCCUUCUCGCGAAAAUAAUCAAGUUUUGGCCAGCCCGGAGCCAGGCAGUAGGGUGGCACAACUUAGACUUAUUGAAACACGACUCGCGUGCCAGAGGCGUGGCCGCGGCGGAGAAAGUUCACAGACGGAAUAGUCGAAAGCUAACAUCCGAUACGCGGAUGUUACCGAUAUUGCCCAUUGCCCCUUAGUCCCAAGCUAAGGCCUCUCCCUCGGACUCUUUGCCGAUGGUGUAGAUUCCUUCCGUCGUCCGUGCGUUUAAUGGGUGAGGGCCGUGCCCCUCCAUCACUGCUUUUUAUUGCUACGCCCUGAGUAGGCUCCGGAGCGUUAGCCUUACUCAUGUGAAAUUUAGGAAAUUGCUCCUAGGUAACCUCCCGUUCAGACCACGGUCGUCGGCGCCAUUAAGGUCGAGGUUAUCGCAUAUAAUUUCAACAACGCCAAUUUUUCGAGCAUCAACCUAAAGUCAAGACCUGACUGCCAAGUGGCGGGCCACGAGUGACAGUGCGAGGCUUGGACAAUUGGCGGGCGACCGAGCGUGCCCCACGAGAAAUGGCUCACAGGGCGCACCGGCCGUCUCAAAUGAAACUUUUUUAAUCUCACGAGUUUCGUCCGAUGUNACUUGCCGGACUUACGGAUACGUACCUUAUUACCUUAUCCUGGAGCCAAGAUAAAACAGCCAAAAGACUUGGGCUCCAUUACUGAUUAUCCUUGUCCGCCCCCGUAAGCAUAACGCUGCGAUCUCCACUUUAAGAACCUGGCAGCGUUCUGCUGGAUGACGCUUUCGUAAACGGUUCCUACAAAAGUAAUUAGUUCUUGCUUUCAAUCUCCAAGCUUCCGCUAGUCUAUGGCGGGAUCAAGAUUGGUAUUUGAUACGACUGGUCGCUAGGCGGCCGCAAUAAGGGUACUGGGCCGCCCGUCGAAGGCCCUUUGGUUUCAGAAACUCAAGGCCCCCUUCAUACCAACGUUUCGACUUUGAAUUUCCUUAACUGCCUUCCCGUGGUGGUCCUCACCUCGGACGCCGAAUUAAACUGAGUUGUGCCCCUUGGAGUGGUCCGGGUCUGUGGCCUUCCUAACUGUCUAACUCUCGAGAAAGAACUAAGCCACCCACCACCACGUACCGGCAAGAAUCAACCACCUCGCUAAACAGACCAAUUAAGGCUAUUGCUUGCUCUGAGACCGGAUGAUUUAUCAGCUGCCUAGAGGUCGUUAACCACAGGUCAAGCGUCGAAGAAGAAUCUCCCUAUUCGCCGUUAAGAUCGGCGUGCUCUAACUCGUUAUUGUCCAGACACUACGGGAAUCUACAAGACCCGGCGUGCGCGCGAUGUGACUUCCCUAGUCGCACAAAAGGGGGAGGCUCUCCUCGCCCAUUGGGCAACUUUAGGAAAGUACUAACCCUAACCCCAAACGUUAAUAGAGGGUACUUGCUCCUUAAGGGUCAUUCGCGUUCAGUACUCGAACGCGACUAAUGCAGGGACGGGAAACAUGUGUGGCGGGCAGCGAUGAUGGCUAACUUACUAAAUCACUCCGGAAGCCUGACCGCGAGAACCUACGGAACUCCGGGCCUUCCGCCGAGGCGCGACGGAGAGGUCCCGAAGGGAGUCCGCGGAGCUCGACUGCCUUUCUACAGGUUUGAACAGUAACWCMYMCUWCAYUUNANNAUUNUCCCAAAGGGGAUCCACUUGGACGGNCUUNUUUAUUUUUGNUAGCNANNG